AUGUAGCCAAGUGGAUUAAGGCAAU
rnacentral:tRNA from 9 species